GACGAACGCUGGCGGCGUGCCUAAUACAUGCAAGUAGAACGCUGAAGGAGGAGCUUGCUUCUCUGGAUGAGUUGCGAACGGGUGAGUAACGCGUAGGUAACCUGCCUGGUAGCGGGGGAUAACUAUUGGAAACGAUAGCUAAUACCGCAUAAUAGCAGUUGUUGCAUGACAACUGUUUGAAAGGUGCAAAUGCAUCACUACCAGAUGGACCUGCGUUGUAUUAGCUAGUUGGUGGGGUAAAGGCUCACCAAGGCGACGAUACAUAGCCGACCUGAGAGGGUGAUCGGCCACACUGGGACUGAGACACGGCCCAGACUCCUACGGGAGGCAGCAGUAGGGAAUCUUCGGCAAUGGACGGAAGUCUGACCGAGCAACGCCGCGUGAGUGAAGAAGGUUUUCGGAUCGUAAAGCUCUGUUGUAAGAGAAGAACGAGUGUGAGAGUGGAAAGUUCACACUGUGACGGUAUCUUACCAGAAAGGGACGGCUAACUACGUG
rnacentral:rRNA from 1 species